rnacentral:miRNA from 1 species
UUUGUGUGGUGAUGUCUGUGUACAUGUUCAUGUGUACGCAUAUGUGUACAUGUGCAUGUAGAGUCCAGAGGUCAACAUAGGUG